UAAGGAAUAUUGGUCAAUGGACGCAAGUCUGAACCAGCCAUGCCGCGUGGAGGAUUAAGGCCCUCUGGGUUGUAAACUCCUUUUAUCUGGGAAGAAAUGUACUUUUUCUUGAGUACUUGACGGUACCAGAGGAAUAAGCACCGGCUAACUCCGUGCCAGCAGCCGCGGUAAUACGGAGGGUGCAAGCGUUAUCCGGAUUCACUGGGUUUAAAGGGUGCGUAGGUGGGCAGGUAAGUCAGUGGUGAAAUCUCCGGGCUUAACCCGGAAACUGCCGUUGAUACUAUUUGUCUUGAAUAUUGUGGAGGUUAGCGGAAUAUGUCAUGUAGCGGUGAAAUGCUUAGAUAUGACAUAGAACACCAAUUGCGAAGGCAGCUUACUACACAAUCAUUGACGCUGAGGCACGAAAG
rnacentral:rRNA from 1 species